rnacentral:rRNA from 1 species
CAGCAGCCGCGGUAAUACGUAGGGUGCGAGCGUUAAUCGGAAUUACUGGGCGUAAAGCGUGCGCAGGCGGUUAUAUAAGACAGUUGUGAAAUCCCCGGGCUCAACCUGGGAACUGCAUCUGUGACUGUAUAGCUAGAGUACGGUAGAGGGGGAUGGAAUUCCGCGUGUAGCAGUGAAAUGCGUAGAUAUGCGGAGGAACACCGAUGGCGAAGGCAAUCCCCUGGACCUGUACUGACGCUCAUGCACGAAAGCGUGGGGAGCAAACAGGAUUAGAUACCCGUGUAGUCCCUGUCUCUUAUAC